rnacentral:rRNA from 1 species
GAUGAACGCUAGCGGGAGGCCUAACACAUGCAAGCCGAGCGGUAGAGUUUCUUCGGAAACUUGAGAGCGGCGUACGGGUGCGGAACACGUGUGCAACCUGCCUUUAUCUGGGGGAUAGCCUUUCGAAAGGAAGAUUAAUACCCCAUAAUAUAUUGAUUCGCAUGGAUUGAUAUUGAAAACUCCGGUGGAUAGAGAUGGGCACGCGCAAGAUUAGAUAGUUUGUGAGGUAACGGCUCACCAAGUCAGUGAUCUUUAGGGGGACUGAGAGGGGGAUCCCCCACACUGGUACUGGGACACGGACCAGACUCCUACGGGAGGCAGCAGUGAGGAAUAUUGUACAAUGGGUGAGAGCCUGAUCCAGCCAUCCCGCGUGAAGGACGACGGUUCUAUGGAUUGUAAACUUCUUUUAUAUAGGGAUAAACCUACUCUCGUGAGGGUAGCUGAAGGUACUAUAUGAAUAAGCACCGGCUAACUCCGUGCCAGCCGCCGCGGUAAGAC